GUAACUUCGGGAGAGGGGGUGCUCUGGUAGGGUGUUACAGCCCGAGAGAGCCGCAGUGAAUAGGCCCAGGCGACUGUUUAGCAAAAACACAGGUCUCUGCAAAACCGUAAGGUGACGUAUAGGGGCUGACGCCUGCCCGGUGCUGGAAGGUUAAGAGGAGUGCUUAGCGUAAGCGAAGGUAUGAAUUGAAGCCCCAGUAAACGGCGGCCGUAACUAUAACGGUCCUAAGGUAGCGAAAUUCCUUGUCGGGUAAGUUCCGACCCGCACGAAAGGCGUAAUGAUUUGGGCACUGUCUCAACGAGAGACUCGGUGAAAUCAUAGUACCUGUGAAGAUGCAGGUUACCCGCGACAGGACGGAAAGACCCCAUGGAGCUUUACUGCAGUUUGAUAUUGAGUGUCUGUACCACAUGUACAGGAUAGGUAGGAGUCUAUGAGAUCGGGACGCCAGUUUCGAAGGAGACGUUGUUGGGAUACUACCCUUGUGUU
rnacentral:rRNA from 13 species